CCUGUGACACAUUUCAGUAACUACCAGAUGGGCCUUGGGUGGAUGUAUCCAAUGGGAAAACCAAUUUGGAAAUGACAGGGCUGGCAGCUGCCUCCUCACUGAAAUCUGGGAAAUCAGAGAAUCGAAUCAAUUGAAGAACUCUUAGACUUUACUUUGGUUUUGUAAGUUCUGGGUUCAAAUUCCCUUUCAUAUUGUAGAUAGAGUUAGACAACUACUAAUUUGUGGCCAUAUUACAACUGAUUAGGGUAGAGGGUUAGUCUCUGAUUGUAACCAGCUACCUUGGAAAGGCCACGCCAACUCUUUUAGGUCACUUAGCUUUCAUCAGUGCCCGAAGGGGAAGUUUCUACCAAGCAGAUGGCAUAUGGUAUGUAGCAGAUGGUAGAUGGUAUAUGGUAGAUAGUGGAUGGUAGAUAUUAGAUGGUUGAUAGUAUAUGGUAGAUGGUGGAUGACAGAGAGUAGAUGGUAUAUGCUGGAUGGUACAUGGUAUAUGGUAGAUGGUGGAUGGUGAAUGGCAUAUGACAGAUGGUAGAUGAAGAAUGGUGGAUAGUACAUGAUAGAUGGUUGAUGAUAGACAAUUGAUGGUAGAUGGUAGAUGGUGGGUGGUAUGUGAUGGAUGGUGGAUGGCAGAUGGCAGUGGUAUGUGGUAGAUGGCAGAUGGUGCAUCGUAAAUGGUGCAUGAUGGUGGAUGGUGGAUGGUAGAUGGUAGAUGGUAGAUGAUGGAUGAUACAUGGUAUGUGGUAAAUGGUAUAUGGAAUAUGGUAGAUGGUGCAUGGUGAAUGGUAGAUGGUGGAUGGUGGAUGGUAGAUGGUAGAUGAUAUAUGAUGAAUGGUAUAUGGAAUAUGGUGGAUAAUAGUGGAUGGUAGAUGACAGAUGGCAUAUGGUGGGUGGUGUAUGAUGGAUGGUGGAUGGUAGAUGGGAGAUGAUAUAUGGUAUAUGAUGAAUGGUAGAUAAUGGAUGGCAGAUGGUAUAUGGCAUAUGGCAGGUGGUAUAUGUGGUAUAUGAUGAAUGGCAUAUGGAAUACAGUGAAUGGUAGAUGGUGGAUGGUAGACGGCUGAUGAUUGAUAGCAUAAGGUAUAUGAUAAUAGAUAGGGCCCAGAUUUUAAAGUCCAGCUGCCCAGUGAGAAUGCUUUUUCUGCUUCUCACUUGCACCACAAUCUUUGUGCCUUGGUUGCUACAGCUGCAAAAUAAUAGCACCUCACUUGUGGGAUUUGUUUUGUUAAGGCAAAAUUUUUAUAACACAAAAUUUUCU
rnacentral:lncRNA from 1 species